GCUAGUUAUGUGAUGGUUUAUCAGUACAAAACCUGGACUGAUGCUCAGAGUUACUGCAGGGAACAUCACACAGACCUCGUCAGUAUCAAGAAUGAGGCUGAAAACCAGAAGAUCCAGAAUUCAUUUAAGAAUCACUAUGAUUAUUAUUAUGAUGUUUGGAUUGGACUGUACAGAGCCAGAUCUUGGUCAGAUCAGAGCAACUCUUCAUUCAGUAACUGGAGGACAAGACAGCCAGAUAAUGCAGGAUCCUGCACUGUAGUCUCAUUCAGUGACUCUGGGAAAUGGACUGAUGAAUACUGCGAUUAUAGAUUUCCUUUCAUUUGCUAUGUUGUGUCACCUUUGACAUCAUCCCGUCAGUAUCACUUUGUGAAUGAGUCUAAGACCUGGACUGAAGCUCAGAGAUACUGCAGACAGAAUUACACUGAUCUGGCCACCGUUGAGAACAUGGAGGAAAUGAACAGGCUGAUUAACACAGUUAAUGGGAGUUACAAUGGUUCAGCCUGGAUUGGACUGUAUGAUGAUGUGCUGAAAAACAGCUGGAGAUGGUCACUGGAAGACGAUGAUUUCUAUCAGGAAGGAGAGAGAGAUUUCAGGAACUGGUAUCAUCAACCAGACAAUAGUGGUGGGAAGCAACUAUGUGUUUACAUGGAUUAUAAUGGCAACUGGUAUGAUAUGUCAUGUGACAACAUGCUGCCAUUUCUUUGCUAUGGUGGUAGAGGGAAUGCAUCACAGAGUUUUAUCAGAAUCAAUGACAGCAAAACCUGGUCAGAGGCUCGUAGAUACUGCAGAGAUCAUUACACAGAUCUCGUCAAUGUGAGAAAUCAGACUGAAAACCAGAGGAUCCUUAACAGCACAGGUGGAGGAGUCUGGAUCGGACUGUACAGAAACAGGAUUUGGUCAAAUGGUCAGAUUACCAAAUAUGAAGAUUGGAGUCCAGCCAUUCCCUACCCAGUACAACAACCAGAUAAUGGUGAAUAUGACUAUCACCAGUGGGGUUUUCAGCACUGUACUGCUGUAUCAUUCAGUCAUUUAGGUCGAUGGACUGAAGAGAACUGCUUAUCCAGCAUGCCUUUCAUCUGCUACAACAAAAUCUGCACACAAUCUUCAUGUACCCAUCAGUAUCACUUUGUGAAUGAGUCUAAGACCUGGACUGAAGCUCAGAGAUACUGCAGACAGAAUUACACUGAUCUGGCCACCGUUGAGAACAUGCAGGAAAUGAACAGACUCAUUAAAAUGGUGCGCAGGACUUACUAUGGUAAAGCUUGGAUUGGUCUGUAUAAUGAUCUAAACAGCUGGCGAUGGUCUCUAGAUAAUGCAACAUUAGACGGAGGAUUUAAAAGCUGGUUUGUCCAUCAACCAGUGAACUCGUAUGGACAGAGUCUGUGUGUGUACAUGUCGUAUUAUCAAGGAAUAUGGAGUGAAGCCUCUUGCCACUAUACAUUUCCAUUUGUUUGCUAUGAUGGAAGAGCGAAUGCUAGUACAAGUUAUGUGUUUGUUAACCAGUACAAAAACUGGACUGGAGCUCAGAGUUACUGCAGAGAGUAUCACACAGACCUCAUCAGUAUCAGGAAUGAGACUGAAAACUUCAAACUUCAGACUUUAUUGCCAUAUUAUUAUUAUAAUGUUUGGAUUGGACUGUACAGAACCAGAUCUUGGUCAGAUCAGAGCAACUCUUCAUUCAGUAACUGGAGGACAGGACAGCCAGAUAAUGCUGGAAACAGAGAAUACUGCACUGCAGUGUCAUUUAGAGAUUCUGGGAGCUGGACAGAUGAAAACUGCAACACUGCAUUACCUUUAAUUUGCUACAACGCAUCAGCAUCAUCCCGUCAGUAUCACUUUGUGAAUGAGUCUAAGACCUGGACUGAAGCUCAGAGAUACUGCAGACAGAAUUACACUGAUCUGGCCACCGUUGAGAACAUGCAGGAAAUGAACAGGCUGAUUAACACAGUUAAUGGGAGUUACAAUAGUUCAGCCUGGAUUGGACUGUAUGAUGAUGUGAACAGCUGGAGAUGGUCACUGGAAGACAAUGAUUUCUAUCUGGAAGGACAGAGAGAUUUCAGGAACUGGUAUCAUCAACCAGACAACAGAUCGAAUGAACUGUGUGUUUUCAUGGACGCUAAUGGAAACUGGUUUGAUCAUUCAUGUGACAGAUAUAACGCAUUUGUUUGCUACAAUGGUAAAGGAAAUUCCUCUCAGAAGUAUGUUCUGGUAACUGAGUAUAGGACCUGGACUGGAGCUCAGAGCUACUGCAGAGAGACAUACACAGACCUGGCCAGUGUGAGCAAUGAGACAGAGCGCCAACAGAUACUGAACUCUACACGUUAUUAUAGUGAUUAUAUAUGGAUUGGUCUGCACAGAAACAGACUGUGGUCAGAUCAGACCAACUCUUCUUUCACAUAUUGGCUGUCAUGGACUCAAGGUUUUGAUGCACAACCAGAUAAUGGUGCCCCAGGACAGAUGGGAGCUCAACACUGCACAGCUGUGUCUUUACAAUACUUUAGUCAGUGGACAGAUGAGAACUGCUUUGAAAGUUUGCCUUUUUUCUGUUACACUGGUGAGCUAAUAUACCUACAGUACUAUAACUAAAUAGUUAAAUGAAAGAAAAACACACAAGGCAAUUCACUGCAAUAAUUAAAAAAAAAACUGUUGAUCUGUUAUGAAUGCCAUUAUUAUUAUUAAUGUAACUGAGUAUCUUUUGUACUAAUGCUAGCUCUGUCUUCUGUUUGGUUUCUGGUGGACAUGAUGACCAUCAUAUUUACCCAUCAAUUCAGAUAAGUACGUGAUGGGACUGAAAGUGAAAGUUAGAAGUCUGGAAAAUCUGUCAGAGUCUCAGAUUAAAGAGCUGGUGAUUAUACAGCUUCAAGAAGAAUUGAUCAGACAAGGACUACCCAGCAACUUCACCAUGCAUUUGAGAAGCUAUCGUAAAACCAGUCCAUAAGAGAAAAAGGAGCAUUCCAGGACAUUAAAAAUGUAAUGGAAUGUUACAGUACAACAACAUACAGUGGAACAACCAGAUGAAGACAUGACUUACAGAUCAUAUGACACACUUUCAGAAUAAAUGGGACUGGAGGAAGUGUUACUGUAUAUGCGGGUGGCAGGAAUAAUAUGCUUCAGUCAUAAGUUUCCUUUAGUUUUUUUGUUUUUUUUUAGAAAUGUUGCAUAUCUGUUUUAUGGACUAUGUGGUCAUGGGGUAUUUUAUAUGAUAUUAUUUGAAGGUUUAUCAUGCAUUUUAAUAAGUAAUCACAAAAAUGUGGGUUUCUUUCUUUAGUUCUGAACCUUAAAAGACCACUGGUGUUGACCAAAUGAACAGUUUAGAUGAUAAAAUAAAAAAUCUGAAACAUCUAAACACCCUGUCAUUGAGAAUAAUAACAAAUUAAUCAGGAUAAUUUUGUGAAUGACACAGUGAUUUACAAAAUGAAGAGCUACUGUAGAUAAUAUCUUGUGUGUAUUUGUCUGUGUGUGAGGGAUAUGGUAUGCAACAAAAGUUUCCUUUUAUUUUGCAAUUUGCAUUUUAAAGUCAAUGUAAUUUCUAUCUACUGCAAACACAUUUGUGACCCUGGACGACAAAACCAGUCUUAAGUGUCAAUUUUUCAAAAAUUAAACUUGAAUAAAUGUAAUACUGAAGCUGAAUAAAUGAGCUUUCAGUUGAUGUACGGUUUGUUAGGAUCGGACAAUAUUUGGCUGAGAUACAACUAUUUGAAAAUCUUGAAUCUGAGUGUGCAAAAAAAUCAAAAUAUUGAGAAAAUCACCUUUAAAGUUGUCCAAAUGAAGUUCUUAGCAAUGCAUAUUACUAAUCAAAAAUGAAGUUUUGAUACAUUUAUGGUAAGACAUUUAUAAAAUAUCUUCAUGGAACAUGAUCUUUACUUAAUAUCCUAAUGAUUUUUGGCAUAAAAUAAAAAUCUAUAAUUUUAACCCAUACAGUGUAUUUUUGGCUAUUGCUACAAAUAUACCCCAGCGACUUAAGACUGGUUUUGUGGUCCAGGGUCACAUUUGGUACAAGUUUGGUAUUCAUGUAUUUUCAAUACUGUAGCAAAUUAGCUCAAAAAGGUUAUUGUACUAAUGCAGUAAAGUAUGUAGCAAGAAUCAGCUUGUCUGCAACAUAGAAUCAAACUUGAGUGAAUGUACAACAUUUAUUUACCUAAACUAAGAAGGUACAAUAACUACUCUAAACAUAAACACACACACACACACACACACUCACGUAUGUUGUGUUUCCAUGUUUUAUGGGGACAUUUCAUAAACGUAAUGAUUUUUAUACUGUACAAACUGUAUUUUCUAUCCCUGACCCCUAACCCCAAACCUACCCCUCACACAAAACUAUAUUUGAAAGUAUAUUAAAAUAGAAACCAUUAUUUUAAAUUGUAAUAAUAUUUUACAACGUUGCAGUUUUUUUCUGUAUUUUUGUCUGUCUUUAGUCCUUAGUUUCAUCAUAUUAAUGAAAGACAGAUACAGCUUUAUGCAAUCAUUUUACAAUAUAAUAUACACAUGUAUGUUUUCAGAGGUGUAUAAAGACCUUACAUAAUGAACCGUUAUGUUUUUAUUACCUUAGAAUGAGCAAUUUCUAAAACACGAACAACGAGUAACAAUAAUAUUUACAAUAACAUAGUUCACUGAAGAAUUGAGUAAAUAGAAUUCCUUAAUUUACCUUUGUAAAGAAAUCUCAUUGCUUGACUGGCUACUCUGUCUCAGACAAUGACAUCUUUGUCCUGUGUCGGCCACCAUCUAUGGGCAAUUCACAACCUUGCUGCUAGAUGCCGCUAAGAUUUACACACUGCACCUUUAAUUUGUUUAUAAAAAUUUCCAUCGAGUAUAAGUCAUGUAUAAGUCAUGAGGUAUUGUCAAGUAUGGUGCUCUGCAUAUAACCCAUCCAAGUGCACACACACAGCAGUACAAAGAAAAAUGAUUCCAAUGUUUUCACUUACCAACUUAAUGUUUUGUAAAUAUGAACCAAUUUUGA